UACGGAGGAUGCGAGCGUUAUCCGGAUUUAUUGGGUUUAAAGGGUGCGCAGGCGGCACGGCAAGCCGGCGGUCAAAUCGCGGGGCUCAACCCCGCCCAGCCGUCGGAACUGCCGGGCUAGAGUGGGCGAGAAGUGCGCGGAAUGCGUGGUGUAGCGGUGAAAUGCGUAGAUAUAUGGAAGAACACCAGUGGCGAAAGCGGCUCUCUGGUCUGUAACUGACGCUGAGGUUCGAAAGCGUGGGUAGCAAACAGG
rnacentral:rRNA from 1 species